rnacentral:lncRNA from 1 species
AUGUGGCUGUGGGUGCCUGUGCUGGGAGCAACCUGUGUGUGUUGCUCAAGUGCUUGAUCCGGCAAAGGUCAAGCUUGGUGCAAGUCUAGUAGCAAAAAGGCCAAAUACAUGAGAUGUGAGAUGCUGAGGCAGAAGAGUUCUGUUGGAUGGACUAAUUAACAGCCUUGGCCGGAAGAUCAUUACAUAUAUUGUGGACCCAAAGCCAUGGCUUUCAGGGAGAUGAAAAGGAAGUGCUAAGCUGCUGUUGACCCUGCUGCCUCCCGGCUAGAUGUCUCUGCUCAUCUGGCCCUGACAGUAAACAGGGUUGCAGGAUGGAAUGCAAGCUAAUGAGCUUGGUCUUCGGAAGAAGAUGCUCUUCUGGUGGAAGCUGUCUAGUCUUGACUCAACAAUUUUCAUUCCAUUGGACCUGUCGGUUGUCCCCACCACUAGAAAAAGCACUUCCUUUUCAAUAGUACGAUUUCUCCAGCCUGUGAAGCCAGACAUGACUGGUCAGCUUUUGUCUGCACUGACUGCUGGAAGCUCUGCAUCACACCUGGCCCCAGCAGCCUGCUUGGAGGUGGCAGUCUGGGUGCUCACGGCUGUUCUCUGA